GAAAACUUCAACAGCCAUUAAGGAGGUAUAUAUGACAGGGAAGCCCGAACACAAACAGGGGAAGAUCAAUACUAAAUGUAUUGUCCUUUGAGCGUGCGAAUACAAGAAGACCUGCCUGCUGUCUGUGUCCUCCCUUCCACCAUCCUUGUGAGGUAGCUGCUAAUAAAAUUAGUUUGUCAGGCUGACAUUCAGGGAGAAAAAGAAAUGAGACAAGGCAUAAGAGAAGAAGUCCAUAAUAGUGAUGGUCUCCUCACAUUAAUGUGUUCACAUGCCCCCCCACCUCCCCCAACCCCAUACCAUCUGUGAUUAGGACACCAUCAGAGCCCCACAGAUGGAUGAACUGAGAGAUGAAGGGCAAAUGAUGGAUGGUGAUUGUGCAGAAAGCGAACAGUAGAUGGCAAAAAUUAAAUAUUGAUGCUGAGUCUAGAGGAAAAAAAAAGGGAAAUUACAAAGCAGUGUGGGAAAAUACACCCAAAGAAAUUAGUGGAGAAGUUUAAAGAGAAGUGAGGUUUGAAAGAAUGGGAACAAUAAAAAAAUCUGCAUAGCAGUGAAUUCUUCUAGGGCUGACUGUAGAACAUUACCGGGCUAUUCCCAUCUGUUCUCAUUAAGACCGGCUCUGGGAAACCAGCACAGCACAUUUGACACAGGUGCACUUGCACCAACACAGAAGAAGUGAUACCCACUGUCACA